CUUAUGAUAAACCAUAAAUUGUGUUGAAAAUCGAAUACAAAAAAAUUUAACAAAAUUAAAAGCCUAACAUAUAAAUAAACAUAAAAUGGAUCAACAAGUGGCCGUGAAACAUGGUGGAAUUAAUAACUGAAUAGUAAAAUUAGUAUAUAAAUUGGAGUAAUCAUAUAAUAAAAUUAGUAUCACACUAUUAGAGCCCUAACUUGCAAAAAUAGUGCAACAGACUGGCGAGAGAGAUAGACAAAAGAUGACGCAUUGAUUGGUAAAUACAAGCAACAGACUUUAAAACACCGGAAAAUGAUACAGCAAAUGCAGCAGCAUCCAUUUGAACAUGGGAUACAGGCCAGAAGCAUGCAAGUCAAGAAUCUCAACAAAGAAUGAAUACCACUCGAAGAUCAUCUUUUGUAGCCUCCAGAGGUUCAACUAUGUUCUUUUUGUCCAGAAAACCUUCUGAAAUAAGAAAGCGGCAGAUGCGACCCCAUUUAGAAGAGUCAAAAGGAUGCCUGAAAUUGAAAAGCCAAGAUUGCACACUUUCCGUAAAUAAGAUAGAAAUCCAUCUCGGCAAAAAUACUAUAGAGGCAAAAUACAAAAAGUGAAUGUUUCCUUUUUUAGCCAUUUUUCCACCUGUGAGCUGUCAAUCAACCCACCUCAUUCGUCACCCCUACGCAAUCUAUUGAAUAUUCCUUUCACACAUGACCUACUUGAGAGCGGUAAUCAGGAUUUUAUGACAGGAAAACCAUUGACUUAAUCGGUGAACUUUCAUUUUCAAAGACAUUAGGCUCCGUUUGAUUGGAGUGAAUUCCAUGGAAAAUGUCAUUUCCAAGGAAUUCGUUUUUUUACUUUAGCUAUUUGAUACGAAAGUGGAAAUGGAGUUCGAAUUUCAAGGUAGAAAUACUUAAAGCAUCACUUCCUGUUUUAGCCAUUUUUCCACCUGUCAAUUGUCAAUCAACCCACCUCAUUCGUCGCCCCUAUACGAUCUAUUGAAUAUUCCUUUCACACAUAACCUACCUGAGUGUGGUAACCAGGAUUUUAUGACAAGAAAACCAUUGACUUAAUCGGUGAACUUUCAUUUUCAAAGACAUUAGGCUCCGUUUGAUUGGAGUGAAUUCCAUGGAAAAUGU
rnacentral:lncRNA from 1 species